GGAGGAAGCAGGGGAUCGCAAGACCUUGCGCUUUUGGAGCGGCCGAUGCCUGAUUAGCUUGUUGGUAAGGUAAAAGCUUACCAAGGCUUCGAUCAGUAGCUGGUCUGAGAGGACGGCCAGCCACACUGGGACUGAGACACGGCCCAGACUCCUACGGGAGGCAGCAGUGGGGAAUUUUGGACAAUGGGGGCAACCCUGAUCCAGCCAUGCCGCGUGAGUGAAGAAGGCCUUCGGGUUAUAAAGCUCUUUCAGCCGGAACGAAACGGUUACGGUUAAUACCCGUGACUAAUGACGGUACCGGAAGAAGAAGCACCGGCUAACUAGGUGCCAGCAGCCGCGGUAAUACGUAGGGUGCGAGCGUUAAUCGGAAUUACUGGGCGUAAAGCGUGCGCAGGUGGUUUUGUAAGUCAGAUGUGAAAUCCCCGGGCUCAACCUGGGAACUGCGUUUGAAACUACAAGGCUAG
rnacentral:rRNA from 1 species